UACGGAGGAUGCAAGCGUUAUCCGGAUUCAUUGGGUUUAAAGGGUGCGUAGGCGGCCGAGUAAGUCAGCGGUGAAAUUUUGCAGCUUAACUGUAACAGUGCCGUUGAUACUGCAUGGCUAGGAUUUGGUUGCUGUGGGUGGAAUGUGUGGUGUAGCGGUGAAAUGCUUAGAUAUCACACAGAAUAUCAAUUGCGAAGGCAGCUCACAAAGCCAAGAUUGACGCUGAGGCACGAAAGUGUGGGGAU
rnacentral:rRNA from 1 species